UCUGGCUGGAACAUCUGCCACUGUGCUAAUCCCCAGGGUUGAUUUGGCUGAUCUGACUGGCUGGGUGCUGUUUCCU
rnacentral:sRNA from 1 species